rnacentral:misc_RNA from 1 species
GAAUAAAAUAUUGCACUUCCUCUGAUAAACCAGCCAAAUUGUGAAACUAGUAUUCAUGAUCUAAUAAUUUCUUUAUCUUCCAUUUUCUUGCAGACGAGAAAGCUUUUUUCAUUAGGAAAAGAAAAUGUUUAUCACUGGGCUCUUCAAUUAAGAGUAGAAUUCUAAUUAAUUAUCAAUGAAACUGCUCUUUCUAAUCUUAUUAUUUAUUCCAGGGAAAGAAUGAAAGUGUGAA